GCGAGCGCCCCCCCACCCCCUCUUCUCCUGCGGAGAGUCAGCGGCGGUGGGUGAGGUGGCGGCGGGGCUUGUGGGUGGUUUUCGCUGAUCGCGCGGGCAGGGUUGGAGGGGUACCUAGGCGUUUUUUUAAUGCCCUCCUUUUUACGAGGCUCGGCCUUUUUAGCGCGUUCUCGCUCUUUAGCGACGCCUCAUAACAGUUGAGGCUCGAGGUGGCGGUGAGACUCGCUCGUGGAAGGGGAGUCGGGGAGAGGGUACUAGGCCAUGUCAGGCCGUGCCGCGAGGGCCGGACCACCGGGAUAAGCCGCCCCGCUGCAUCCGCGGCACCGAGGGCACGGACUACACGCCCCAGUAUGCCUCGCGCUUCCGCGGGGAGGGGGCGAGAGGGUGGUGGGGCGCGUUGCCCGCCGGAAGCGACGGUGCGCGGCGCGAGGCAUUGUGGGAUGGGUAGUUGCCGGGGCCGCCGCGCGCGUGGCGGCGGGGGUACCAUUUUGCCCCGGCGCGGGCGGCGCCUGGUGAGGCUCUGCCCGGCCUACGCCAUUUUGGUACUAUGAAGAGGAAGUACUCAGUGGUGUCCGAUAUAUUGUACAGAAGCUUUAAGCCCUUCAUGGAAACACCAUCAGAACUAGAAGAAUGCUGGGUACACACAAGUGGAUGUUCCUGAAAGCUAUGCAUGUUUUGAAUGACCAAUGAACUGUAUGGUGUAUCAACAAGCAGUCUUAAGAAUGUGAAAGUCAAGUGGCCUGAUGAGAGAUUUCCUGGUGACUCUAGUACAACAGAUAGAGUGAUGUUUGAAAGCUGCUUCUAUCUUAAAGGGAAAUGGCAAAAACAUAGGAACAAAUACUUCCAGCUGUUCAGUGAUGAGUUGGAACAUUUUGUCAGUGCUACCUGACAAGUUUGGAUGGUCUGUAACUGGAAGGAAGUGUAACACCUGAAGAAAGUUUUUGUCGCUUGAAGUGGGACACCAUGUUUUUAAAAAUCUCCUGUUGAAACAGUUGAUGUCAUACUAUUUAGCAGAUACUGUUUUCAGAAAUUACUUGUGAACCAAAAUCACUCUGUCUACAUAUUUAAAAUAGCACCUUUUCCAAAACUUUGAGCUACCCUCCCUGUAGGGGGAUAACAGCAGUAUUAGGGAAACAAGCAGUGAGCAUCAGUUUCUGUGAAAAACCCCUAAGAGUAUUUGUCCUUUCAAAAUAUCUUAACUGUCUACAGAUUGGCUGAUCCUGAGCAUCUGUGUAACUCAAAACAGUGGAACUCAGAGGUAGACCAUGUAAAGAGAGGAUGAAAGCACAAAUAGUUACACAAGUUCCUACUAAUGAGCCUGCUUUUUGAGCAUAGUGUCAUCCAGGAGAUGAGAGCAAGUAGAUGAUCUGUGGUAAUCAGUUACUGAAGACACUGAGGAAGCAUAAACAUGAAACUUGUAAGAAAGAUUCAAGUGUCAUCAGAAUUUGUGGUUACAAAAAAAGCUAGGUCUAAAGCAUGCCUUGUCUUUUUUUAUCUAGUGAGGGAGAAAGAAGUGGGGUUUUUGUCUGCUACCUCAGCAAGGUCACUAGAGUGGAACUCUGGCCUUUGGGGGGAAAAGUCAGUAGAGGGAAAAGGGGGUACACACAUGGGAACAUCUGCUUUGAGCAUUCAUUUGAAAAGCAACCAUGCAGUAAAAUAGUAACAGCAUGCUCAUUGCAUUCAGCGAAUGAACACUUUUCCAGGGAGAGGGAUCAUAGAAAUCAUUAACCAAAUAAAUUAGGGUUUAAAGACAAACCAUUAUGUACAUAAGACCCAAUCUGCCUUAAAGCAUGGUCCUCAAAUCUAAAUGGCAGGAAAGCAUAAUAAAAGAAAAUGGCACAGUAGCAGUACAUCCAAAAAUUGAUAGAGCUACACAGUUAAGACUGUUUUCAUAGUCUCCAAGAUCACUAUUUCAUUGAAAGCUAAUUCACUAAAACACAGAAAAAUACCCUAAAGCUUGCACCCUUAACACAAAACUGGUGAAAAUGCUGAACUGGAUGCUAGCAGCCCUUUUCCCUUACAGAGUCAGAGGUUUUUUUAGCUCAUGGAAUAUGUCUGCUUCUAAAUGAUAAAUACCUGAAAAAGACCACUUUUCUGUCAGGCAAUACCAAAGAAAUGCAAAGCUUAACAAGUAGCAGUGUCCAAAAGCAUUGGGAAGGUCAGAAAUUAGGAGAAUCCAUUUGGCGACUAAACUGUAUACACUGUAGGUAUGACCAUGGGCUUCAGGAAUGUGCCAACACCGUUGGUUGUUGAUAGUGAGCAGUACCCAGCUACUUCGGUCAAAGGCUGCUCCUUUUCAGCAAGCAACUCUGUAAAUCUUAGCCACUGAAUGCAUCAGAAGCUGCAGAAUAUUACUGCAGAACAGCUUCCCUUUGCUUUCAGCAGGAUUUAUUACUUCUGGUAACAAAACAAAUACAGUGUUACUGAGGAGGAUAGGUAUUUCAAUGUGCAAUGUCUUGUAUGUGCUCUUUUUUGAAUAAAGAUGAGGAUGUGAAAAACCUG